GGCAGUCGUGCGCCGUUCGCCGCCGCGGUAACACACCGCGCUUCUGUCUUCUACCGCGUUAAAUCCACGCGCUAAAUGGCGCCCAACAUGGGAUAUCACCUUUCCUGGUGAUCAGCGGUGGCCUAAUGCUACGGCACGAACACACAUGCUGACGAUAUGGACACAGUAUGGCCGCGGCAUAUAGUCUCAACUCGGUCGGAAGUCUGUCGUUGUCACUACUAUGCCUUUUCGCAACAACCCUACAAGUCACAAGCGGUGA